CCACUCAAUGAUUUUGAGUUGGUGUCUUUUCUCCUUGCAGGAUUAGGAUAGGAAUUUGAUCCUUUUGUAACUUCAAUCACCACCAGGGUGGACCCAAUGACCAUUGAAGAAUUGUGUUCUCACCUACUCACACAUGAGA